GUGGUCACUUCAGCAACAACACAUAUACUGAAAGUUGUAAUGAUAGAGAGAAGAUUAACAUAGCCCCUGUGCAAGUUUGACACAGAAGUGAUGAACCAUUCCAUAUUUCU